UGCCUACGGGGGGCAGCAGUGGGGAAUAUUGCACAAUGGGGGAAACCCUGAAGCAGCAACGCCGCGUGGAGGAUGAAGGAUUUCGGAUUGUAAACUCCUUUUGUUAGAGAAGAAAAUGACGGUAUCUAACGAAUAAGCACCGGCUAACUACGUGCCAGCAGCCGCGGUAAUACGGAGGGUGCAAGCGUUACUCGGAAUCACUGGGUGUAAAGGGCGCGUAGGCGGGAUAGCAAGCCAGAUGUGAAAUCCUAUGGCUUAACC
rnacentral:rRNA from 1 species